GACGGAGGGCGUAAGCGUUGUUCGGAAUUACUGGGCGUAAAGCGCGGGCAGGUGGUUCGUUAAGUCGUUUGUGAAAACCCGGGGCUCAACCCCGUGGAAUGCAGACGAUACUGGCGGGCUAGAGAUCGGUAGAGGCUAGCGGAAUUCCUGGUGUAGCGGUGGAAUGCGUAGAGAUCAGGAAGAACACCCGUGGCGAAGGCGGCUAGCUGGGCCGAGUCUGACACUCAUCCGCGAAAGCGUGGGGAGCAAACAGG
rnacentral:misc_RNA from 1 species